CAGCAACAUUUUUGUUGAAGCUUUUGUCUGGAGCAUCAGAUCUUGUUUCUGUCAAUGCUUCUUACAAUCUAAUGCCCGUUGAAUCCAUAGACAUCAUACAUUCUGCCCUGAAAAUUGCUAAAGGUAAGCUUGAGCUAUUGGACUUGAGGGGAAACAAUUGGGAUGAUCAAAAGGUUGAAGAUUCGCUGAUUGCGGAGUUUCAGAUCAG
rnacentral:misc_RNA from 1 species